GGUUAAGUUGCUAAGGGCAUACGGUGGAUGCCUAGGCACGAGGAGGCGAAGAAGGACGUGGUAAGCUGCGAAAAGCCACGGGGAGGUGCACACAACCUUAGAUCCGUGGAUUUCCGAAUGGGGCAACCCGGCUCCGGUAAUGCGGAGUCAUCCUGACGUAAGUUGGGAGGCGAACCCAGGGAACUGAAACAUCUAAGUACCUGGAGGAAAAGAAAACGAAGUGAUUCUCUGAGUAGCGGCGAGCGAAAGGGGAAUAGCCUAAACCUGCGAGCAUGUAAAAGCCUGCAAGCGUUGUGCUCCGGGGGUAGAGGGAUGCAAUGGUCUGGUGGUUGCAGACGCCAGGUGGAGUUACAAAACCUAAAGAUAGUCGAAGCUGGCUGGAACGCCACACCGUAGAGGGUGAAAGUCCCGUAGGCGAAAUUUUUAGGUCUCCAUACAUUGCACACCCGAGUACCGCGGGACACGAGGAAUCCUGUGGGAAUCAGUGCCGACCACGGCAUAAGGCUAAAUACUCCCUCGUGACCGAUAGUGCAGUAGUACCGUGAGGGAAAGGUGAAAAGCACCCCGGGAGGGGAGUUAAAAGUACCUGAAACCGUAUGCCUACAAUCAGUCGGAGCUGGUUAUAUUCUUCGGGAUAUAACUGGUGACGGCGUGCCUUUUGCAUAAUGAGCCAGCGAGUUGCUCGUACGUAGCGAGGCUAAGCCAUUCAGUGGCGUACCCGAAGCGAAAGCGAGUCUGAAUAGGGCGAUAAGUUACGUUCGGCAGACGCGAAGCCGGGUGAUCUACCCAUGUCCAGGAUGAAGCGGCAGUAAGAUGUCGUGGAGGUCCGAACCUGUUGGUGUUGAAAAACCAUUGGAUGAGAUGUGGGUAGGGGUGAAAGGCCAAUCAAACUCGGAGAUAGCUCGUUCUCCCCGAAAUAGUUUUAGGACUAGCCUCGAUUAACAGUGUCACGGAGGUAGAGCACUAAUAGGGUUAGGGCCCUCACCGGGGUACCGCCCCCUGUUAAACUCCGAAUGCCGUAGACACGAUGAUCGGGAGUCAGCCUGUGAGGGAUAAGCUUCACAGACGAGAGGGAAAGAACCCAGACCGUCAGCUAAGGUCCCCAAGUCACGGCUAAGUGAGAAAGGAUGUUAAACCGCAGAGACAACCAGGAUGUUGGCUUAGAAGCAGCCAUCAUUUAAAGAGUGCGUAAUAGCUCACUGGUCAAGUGGUUUGGCGCCGAUAAUUGUCGGGACUCAAGUCGUGCACCGAAGCUACGGAUUCAAGGAGCAAGGUUCAAGGUACAAGGAGCAAGCCGAUGGAGUCGUUAGAUGAUUUAAGUGUUUAUGUUCGUAGUUAUGCUGCCAGCUUGGAAGUUCAUAGAUUAAGCUUGAAGUUUCCGGCUUAUGAGCAGUAUAAAGGACUGGCCACGCAAUUAAGAGAUAGCAGUAAAUCUGUUGUAUCAAAUAUCGUAGAAGGUUAUGGAUUUAAGAAGCGCAGGCCGAAACGCUUUGUAAAUCAUCUAGAGAUAUCUAUAGGAAGUUGUGAUGAGACGCGUUUGUGGUUGAGAUAUGGUUUUGAUUUAGGCUAUAUUCCAGAAGCGCAAUACCUUGAACUGCAAAGGACGUAUGAGGAGAUAGGCAAGAUGUUAUGGGGCAUGUUACGGAUAGUAGCGGAUUAAAGCCUUAUUCCUUGCGCCUUGAUCCUUGUUCCUUGAGUGGUAGGGGAGCAUUCCAUUAACCGUUGAAGGUGUACCGUGAGGUAUGCUGGAGGAGAUGGAAACGAGGAUGCUGGCAUAAGUAGCGAUAAAACAGGUGAGAACCCUGUUCACCGAAAAUCUAAGGUUUCCUGAGUAAAGUCAAUCUGCUCAGGGUUAGUCGGCCCCUAAGCCGAGGCCGAGAGGCGUAGGCGAUGGGAAACGGGUUAAAUAUUCCCGUACCAGCUUUGACUUGUUUGAGCGAAGGGGGGACGCAGAAGUGACCGGCCAGCCGUCUGACGGAAUAGGCGGUUUAAGCGCGUAGGCGGGAUGUGUAGGCAAAUCCGCACGUCCACUAACGCCGAGACGCGAAUAGGAGCCCGUAAGGGCAUAAACUGGCCCUAAUCACGCUGCCGAGAAAAGCCUCUAAGCGAGAGUCAAAGCUGACCGUACCGUAAACCGACACAGGUAGAUGAGGAGAGAAUCCUAAGGUGCUCGAGAGAGUCCUCGUUAAGGAACUCGGCAAAUUGACCCCGUAACUUCGGGAGAAGGGGUGCCCUGGGAUGUGAUUCCCCUUGCGGGAUGAGCGUUCUGGGGUCGCAGUGACCAGGCCCAAGCGACUGUUUACUAAAAACACAUGUCUCUGCGAAGUCGUAAGACGCCGUAUAGGGACUGACACCUGCCCGGUGCCGGAAGGUUAAGGGGAUCUGUUAUUCUGCUUCGGCAGGAGAAGCAGUGAACCGAAGCCCCGGUAAACGGCGGCCGUAACUAUAACGGUCCUAAGGUAGCGAAAUUCCUUGUCGGGUAAGUUCCGACCUGCACGAAUGGUGUAACGACUUGGGCGCUGUCUCAACGAGGAUCUCGGCGAAAUUGUGAUGCCGGUGAAGACGCCGGCUACCCGCAACGGGACGGAAAGACCCCGUGCACCUUUACUACAGCUUGAUAUUGUACUUUAGCUAAGCAUGUGUAGGAUAGGUGGGAGGCUGUGAAGUGUCGACGCCAGUCGGCAUGGAGCCGCCCUUGAAAUACCACCCUUGCUUAGUUGGAGUACUAACCUGCCGCGUUGAAUCACGUGGAGGGACAGUGUCAGGUGGGUAGUUUGACUGGGGCGGUCGCCUCCAAAAGAGUAACGGAGGCUCCCAAAGGUCCCCUCAGCACGGUUGGUAAUCGUGCGUAGAGUGUAAAGGCAUAAGGGGGCUUAACUGCGAGACAUACAGGUCGAGCAGAUGCGAAAGCAGGGCUUAGUGAUCCGGCGGUAGCGAGUGGAAGCGCCGUCGCUCAAAGGAUAAAAGGUACGCCGGGGAUAACAGGCUUAUCACUCCCAAGAGUUCACAUCGACGGAGUGGUUUGGCACCUCGAUGUCGGCUCAUCGCAUCCUGGGGCUGGAGAAGGUCCCAAGGGUUUGGCUGUUCGCCAAUUAAAGCGGUACGCGAGCUGGGUUUAGAACGUCGUGAGACAGUUCGGUCCCUAUCUGUUGCGGGCGUAGGAUGUUUGAGGGGGUCUGCUCUUAGUACGAGAGGACCGGAGUGGACGAACCUCUAGUGUACCAGUUGUUCCGCCAGGAGCACAGCUGGGUAGCUAUGUUCGGUGUGGAUAAGCGCUGAAAGCAUCUAAGCGCGAAACCCAACCCAAGAUGAAACAUCCCUCCCGAGUAAUCGGGACUGAAGGCGCCUUCGAGACUAGGAGGUAGAUAGGCUGCAGGUGUAAGUCCGGCAACGGAUUCAGCCGAGCAGUACUAAUUAGCCGUGAGACUUAACCUA
rfam:Caldithrix abyssi DSM 13497 chromosome, whole genome shotgun sequence.